rnacentral:rRNA from 1 species
AAUGAACGCUGGCGGCAGGCCUAACACAUGCAAGUCGAACGGAUCCUUCGGGAUUAGUGGCGGACGGGUGAGUAACGCGUGGGAACAUACCCAAAGGUACGGAAUAGCCUCGGGAAACUGGGAGUAAUACCGUAUGUGCUCGAAAGAGGAAAGAUUUAUCGCCUUUGGAUUGGCCCGCGUUGGAUUAGGUAGUUGGUGGGGUAAUGGCCUACCAAGCCGACGAUCCAUAGCUGGUUUGAGAGGAUGAUCAGCCACACUGGGACUGAGACACGGCCCAGACUCCUACGGGAGGCAGCAGUGGGGAAUCUUAGACAAUGGGGGAAACCCUGAUCUAGCCAUGCCGCGUGAUCGAUGAAGGCCUUAGGGUUGUAAAGCUCUUUUACCAGGGAUGAUAAUGACAGUACCUGGAGAAUAAGCUCCGGCUAACUCCGUGCCAGCAGCCGCCGUAA